rnacentral:rRNA from 1 species
AGAGUUUGAUCCUGGCUCAGAUUGAACGCUGGCGGCAGGCCUAACACAUGCAAGUCGAACGGUAACAGGAAGAAGCUUGCUUCUUUGCUGACGAGUGGCGGACGGGUGAGUAAUGUCUGGGAAACUGCCUGAUGGAGGGGGAUAACUACUGGAAACGGUAGCUAAUACCGCAUAACGUCGCAAGACCAAAGAGGGGGACCUUCGGGCCUCUUGCCAUCGGAUGUGCCCAGAUGGGAUUAGCUAGUAGGUGGGGUAACGGCUCACCUAGGCGACGAUCCCUAGCUGGUCUGAGAGGAUGACCAGCCACACUGGAACUGAGACACGGUCCAGACUCCUACGGGAGGCAGCAGUGGGGAAUAUUGCACAAUGGGCGCAAGCCUGAUGCAGCCAUGCCGCGUGUAUGAAGAAGGCCUUCGGGUUGUAAAGUACUUUCAGCGGGGAGGAAGGGAGUAAAGUUAAUACCUUUGCUCAUUGACGUUACCCGCAGAAGAAGCACCGGCUAACUCCGUGCCAGCAGCCGCGGUAAUACGGAGGGUGCAAGCGUUAAUCGGAAUUACUGGGCGUAAAGCGCACGCAGGCAGCGUCUGUUAAGUCAGAUGUGAAAUCCCCGGACUCAACCUGGGAACUGCAUCUGGAAUACCUGGCAAGCUUGAGUUCUUCCGUAGAAGGGGGUAGAAUUCCAGGUGUAGCGGUGAAAUGCGUAGAGAUCUGGAGGAAAUACCGGUGGCGAAAGCCGCCCCCUGGACGAAGACUGACGCUCAGGUGCGAAAGCGUGGGGAGCAAGCAGGAUUAGAUACCCUGGUAGUCCACCGCCGUAAAACGAUGUCGACUUGGAGGUUUGUGCCCUUUGAGGGCGUGGCUUCCCGGAGCUAACGCGUUAAGUCGACCGCCUGGGGGGAGUACGGCCCGCAAGGUUAAAAACUCAAAUGAAUUUGACGGGGGGCCCGCACAAGCGGUGGAGCAUGUGGUUUAAUUUCGAUGCAACGGCGAAGAACCCUUACCCUGAUUCUUGACAUUCCACGGAAGUUUUCAGAAGAAUGAGAAUGUGCCUUCCGGGAACCGGUGAGAACCAGGUGCCUGCAUGGCUGUCGUCAGCUCGUGAUUGUGAAAUGUUGGGUUAAGUCCCGCAACGAGCGCAACCCUUAUCCUUUGUUGCCAGCGGUCCGGCCGGGAACUCAAAGGAGACUGCCAGUGAUAAACUGGAGGAAGGUGGGGAUGACGUCAAGUCAUCAUGGCCCUUACGACCAGGGCUACACACGUGCUACAAUGGCGCAUACAAAGAGAAGCGACCUCGCGAGAGCAAGCGGACCUCAUAAAGUGCGUCGUAGUCCGGAUUGGAGUCUGCAACUCGACUCCAUGAAGUCGGAAUCGCUAGUAAUCGUGGAUCAGAAUGCCACGGUGAAUACGUUCCCGGGCCUUGUACACACCGCCCGUCACACCAUGGGAGUGGGUUGCAAAAGAAGUAGGUAGCUUAACCUUCGGGAGGGCGCUUACCACUUUGUGAUUCAUUGACUGGGAAAAAAAGUCGUAACAAGGUAGCCGU